UACGGAGGAUCCAAGCGUUAUCCGGAUUUAUUGGGGUUAAAGGGUGCGUAGGCGGAAUAGUAAGUCAGUGGUGAAAGCCUGCAGCUUAACUGUAGAAUUGCCAUUGAUACUGCUAAUCUUGAGUACAUAUGAAGUGGGCGGAAUGUGUCGUGUAGCGGUGAAAUGCUUAGAUAUGACACAGAACACCGAGUGCGAAGGCAGCUCACUAAACUGUAACUGACGCUGAGGCACGAAAGCAUGGGGAGCAAACAGG
rnacentral:rRNA from 1 species